rnacentral:rRNA from 1 species
AUUGAACGCUGGCGGCGUGCUUAACACAUGCAAGUCGAACGCUGAAGCCCUUUCGGGGGCGGAUGAGUGGCGAACGGGUGAGUAACACGUGGGUAAUCUGCCCUGCACUCUGGGAUAAGCCUUGGAAACGGGGUCUAAUACCGGAUAGGACACAUCGCCGCAUGGUGUGUGUGUGGAAAGUUACGGCGGUGCAGGUUGAGCCCGCGGCCUAUCAGCUGGUUGGUGGGGUGAUGGCCUACCAAGGCGACGACGGGUAGCCGGCCUGAGAGGGGGACCGGCCACACGGGGACUGAGACACGGCCCAGACUCCUACGGGAGGCAGCAGUGGGGAAUCUUGCGCAAUGGGCGAAAGCCUGACGCAGCAACGCCGCGUGGGGGAUGACGGCCUUCGGGUUGUAAACCUCUUUCGACCGGGACGAAGGGUGACUGACGGUACCGGUAGAAGAAGCACCGGCUAACUACGUGCCAGCAGCCGCCGUAA